GGGCCCAUAGCUCAAUGGUGGAGCAGGGGACUCAUAAUCCUUUGGUUCUCAGUUCGAAUCUGGGUGGGCCCA
rnacentral:tRNA from 1 species